AUAAAAAGACAGACGCGUAAGAAACACUAAACAUAUUCCAGCGAGUUAGGAAUGGUGAGAGCCUAACAUAUCGUUUGUUUCUUAUAUCACUGGCUUUUAUUUUAAUAUGUUUAUGAGAGAACUCUAAGUUGAGUUAAAUAGGGUGGUACCGCGGUUUAGCCGUCCCUUUU
rnacentral:misc_RNA from 1 species